rnacentral:rRNA from 1 species
ACGGGAGGCAGCAGUGGGGAAUAUUGCACAAUGGAGGAAACUCUGAUGCAGCGACGCCGCGUGAGUGAAGAAGUAUUUCGGUAUGUAAAGCUCUAUCAGCAGGGAAGAUAAUGACGGUACCUGACUAAGAAGCCCCGGCUAACUACGUGCCAGCAGCCGCGGUAAUACGUAGGGGGCAAGCGUUAUCCGGAUUUACUGGGUGUAAAGGGAGCGUAGGUGGUUUGGCAAGUCAGAAGUGAAAUGCAGGGGCUCAACUCCUGAACUGCUUUUGAAACUGUCAGACUAGAGUGCUGGAGAGGUAAGUGGAAUUCCUAGUGUAGCGGUGAAAUGCGUAGAUAUUAGGAGGAACACCAGUGGCGAAGGCGGCUUACUGGACAGUAACUGACACUAAUGCUCGAAAGCGUGGGGAGCAAACAGGAUUAGAUACCCUGGUA